rnacentral:lncRNA from 1 species
AGAUCAUCUGAAGCAUGUAUAUCCUGAAUUCUUUAUCUGACAUUCCAUCUGCUGCAGCUAUUACCUCUUCUAACGUUGAGUUGACCUGCAUUGCUUGUGGUCCUUUCUUUCCUUGUCUCUUCAUACUGUUCGCAUUUCUUUCUGCUUGGUGAAACUUUGUGCUAUUGAAUUUUCCCCCUAUAUAUUUAUAUUGGUCUUGUAUAGUUGCAAAGUCUCCCUCGCAGGCAUGGGC